UAGGGAAUCUUCCGCAAUGGGCGAAAGCCUGACGGAGCAACGCCGCGUGAGUGAUGAAGGUCUUCGGAUCGUAAAACUCUGUUAUUAGGGAAGAACAAAUGUGUAAGUAACUAUGCACGUCUUGACGGUACCUAAUCAGAAAGCCACGUCUAACUACGUGCCAGCAGCCGCGGUAAUACGUAGGUGGCAAGCGUUAUCCGGAAUUAUUGGGCGUAAAGCGCGCGUAGGCGGUUUUUUAAGUCUGAUGUGAAAGCCCACGGCUCAACCGUGGGGGGUCAUUGGAAACUGGAAAACUUGAGUGCAGAAGAGGAAAGUGGAAUUCCAUGUGUAGCGGUGAGAUGCGCAGAGAUAUGGAGGAAAACCAGUGGCGAAGGCGACGUUCUGGUCUGUAACUGACGCUGAUGUGCGAAAGCGUGGGGAUCAAACAGG
rnacentral:rRNA from 1 species